CAGCCGCCGCGGUAAUGCGUAGGUCCCGAGCGUUGUCCGGAUUUAUUGGGCGUAAAGCGAGCGCAGGCGGUUAGAUAAGUCUGAAGUUAAAGGCUGUGGCUUAACCAUAGUACGCUUUGGAAACUGUUUAACUUGAGUGCAAGAGGGGAGAGUGGAAUUCCAUGUGUAACGGUGAAAUGCGUAGAUAUAUGGAGGAACACCGGUGGCGAAAGCGGCUCUCUGGCUUGUAACUGACGCUGAGGCUCGAAAGCGUGGGGAGCAAACAGGAUUAGAUACCCCCGUAGUCCCUGUCUCUUAUACC
rnacentral:rRNA from 1 species